rnacentral:misc_RNA from 1 species
AAGUCGUAACAAGGUUUCCGUAGGUGAACCUGCGGAAGGAUCAAUACAAAAUUUGAGAUUUUGGGUGGUGGAGGAUUCGUCGGGGGUUUUCGGAUGGCGAUCCGCGAGGGAUGAGAUGGAAAUCUCAACCAAAGUGGGUCGUAAUUUGUGAAGGAUCCCGACGGGGCCACGCCACACAUAUGCCCGGGCCGUUUUAUUACAUGGUCCCGUGACAUUUGCGCAUGUAGAGUUUGACAGAGUUUGGUUGGUUGGAGAAAAAAGGACAACUUUUAACAAUGGAUCUCUUGGCUCCU